rnacentral:rRNA from 1 species
UACGAAGGGGGCUAGCGUUGUUCGGAUUUACUGGGCGUAAAGCGCACGUAGGCGGAUCGUUAAGUCGGGGGUGAAAUCCUGGAGCUCAACUCCAGAACUGCCCUCGAUACUGGCGAUCUCGAGUCCGGAAGAGGUGAGUGGAACUCCUAGUGUAGAGGUGGAAUUCGUAGAUAUUAGGAAGAACACCAGUGGCGAAGGCGACUCACUGGUCCGGUACUGACGCUGAGGUGCGAAAGCGUGGGGAGCAAACAGG